rnacentral:lncRNA from 1 species
AAUAACUCCUGUUUCAGCUUGCAGCAGUCAGGGUAGGAAGAUCUUUUGCUUCUACCUUAACAGCCACUAAAGCAGAAAAUGCCAGCCUGUAACUCCGUCACACAGGACUUGUGAAACAGUUUGAUGGAGCUCAUAAACAUCUGCUCAAAAUAUGGACUGUGAUGAACAUCUCCUGCUACCUUCUGGAUGACCUUGGAUACUCUAUCUCUAUUCCCCAUUGGCUAAUGGAACACUACCAUACGCAGUGAUGUUAAUGCAGCUGUGUGGCUGGAGUGGUAGUUCUGACAGUGCUAUCUGCUGAUGAGAUGUCCCAGACAGAAAGUCACUCCUCCGUCCAAGACUAACUGUGCAUGCACAUCAAAAGGUGAUGCCAUGGUGAGAGAGACCUCCCUUUUCCACGUGCUGUCCCAUGAUGCAGUAGCUCGUCAGGCCUUUGGAGUGAUUCAACAUCAUAGAUCAGUCUGUCUUCUGUUUACAGAGAGCAAAUCCUCCACAUCCCUCCUUGGAUUCAAGACCCCAACUAAUCCCUCAUCUCUUUGAUUCUCUACCAGCUGUUCAUCUGUCCUCUUUGUCAUAUGCUUUGAUGGGGAAAUCUUCCCAUCAAAGCCAACAAGACAAUUAGACACAUGUAAGUAUUUAAGAAUGCAAUUAUACUGCAAAAUAUUUUAUAGAUAAGUGUAAAAUGGUAAGAAAAAUCAUCUCCUGAAUUGCACCAUAUCAAAACCAAUUGAUCAGGUAAAACUGAGAAUUUCCAGGAAUUCAGAUAUUUUACACAAGUUGAAAUAUAGAUUUCAUGUUUAUUCUCAAACAUUAUAGAAAGUUGUGACUAUUUCUGCAUAGAUAAGAACAUACAGAAUUUUAUUUUGAGCACUAAAAGUGAUGAUCUGAUCCCUCACUCCACAUAUUAAUAUUUGUUCCAAGUCACGAGCCUCAUAACAGGUUCACUGGCCCCUAAGCUAUAGCUUGUCACAAGCAGGAGACAAUUAUUAGAGAGCUUUCCCUCUGUUUGGUCCUUGUAAUUAACUUGAUUUCCUCCACAGAAUUCCAAUUAUCCUAUUAAACAAUGAGUCAGGAUGCUUAUAUUGAUACAGGUGCCUUAAUUGGUUAAUUUAUACUCGUGCCAGCCCCAACUAAGAACUGAUUUCCCUGAGGCGUCCUUAGAUAACUAUAGUUCCUCCUAAACUGUAAUGGUAAUUCUUAACAGGCGUAAUACGUGAGCAUAACAUUUGGACCUUUGCACAAGCAUCCCUUGUCACAUGCUCGUUCACGUUUAGCCAUACGUAAACAUGCUAUUCAGCUUUUACUUGCUUCUACUUUAUAAUUUCUAACUUAUUUAGUUUUAAGUAUAAAACUAGGAUUAUUCAAUACUG